rnacentral:rRNA from 1 species
GACUUGUNCUUUCAUUGGAUUUGUAAANCUUCUUUAUAUACAGGGAAUAACAAAGAGUCACGUGUGACUCCCUGGCAUGUACCGUAUGAAUAAGCAUCGGCUAACUCCGGUGCCAGCAGCCGCGGUAAUACGCGAGGAUGCGAGCGUUAUCCGGAUUUAUUGCGGUUUAAAGGGUGCGUAGGCGGCCUGUUAAGUCAGCGGUGAAAUCUAGGAGCUUAACUCCUAAAUUGCCAUUGAUACUGGCGGNCCUGAGUGUACAUGAGGUAGGCGGAAUGCGUGGUGAACCGGUGGAAUCGCAUAGAUAUCACGCAGAACUCCGAUUGCGAAGGCAGCUUACUAAGGUACAAAUGACCCUGAAGCACGAAAGCGUGGGGUAUCANACAGGAUUAGAUANCCCUGGUAGUCCACGCAGUACNACGAUGAUAAUCUGGGCGUAUGCGAUAUACAGUAUGCUCCUAAGCGAAAGCGUUAAGUUAUCCACCUGGGGAGUACGCCGGCAACGGUGUAACUCAAAGGAAUUGACGGGGGCCCGCACAAGNCGGAGGAACAUGUGGUUUAAUUCGAUGAUACGCGAGGAACCUUACCCGGGAUUGAAAUGUAGAUGACCGCUCCUGAAAGGGAGUUUUCCUUCGGGACAUCUAUGUAGGUGCUGCAUGGUUGUCGUCAGCUCGUGCCGUGAGGUGUCGGCUUAAGUGCCAUAACGAGCGCAACCCCUGUCUACGGUUGCCAUCAGGUAAUGCUGGGAACUCACGUAGAGACUGCCGUCGUAAGGCGUGAGGAAGGUGGGGAUGACGUCAAAUCAGCACGGCCCUUACAUCCGGGGCGACACACGUGCUACAAUGGCUGGUACAACGAGUCGCAAGCCGGUGACGGCAAGCUAAUCUCUUAAAGCCAGUCUCAGUUCGGAUUGUAGGCUGCAACUCGACUCCGUGAAGCUGGAUUCGCUAGUAAUCGCGCAUCAGCCAUGGCGCGGUGAAUACGUUCCCGGGCCUUGUACACACCGCCCGUCAAGCCAUGGGAGUCUGGAGUACCUAAAGUCCGUAACCGCAAGGGUCGGCCUAGGGUAAUACAGGUGACUGGGGCUAAGUCGUAACAAGG